AUGAUCUGCACAGGUGGUUAAAUAUAAUGUGCUAUAUUAGUGAGGCAUGAGUGGAGACACCUCCCAUCUGCUAGCUCUUCCCAUCCUGAGAACAGACAAGCAGAGGUGAGCAUGCAUGUCAAACAUGCUACUCUAACUGCAGAGGUAAGGCUGUAUAUAAACUCAGUAUAUAACCUGCUCCAUCAAGACUCACUAGCCACUCCUGGAACAAGCUAAACGAGCCUCCCCACCGCCCCUACUGCGUGUGCAACAACACAUGUCUGCUUGUCACAGAUCUUUCCUGAAACUGGAUGAAAGACGACGUGAGUUCUGUCGCUUCCCUCCCAGGGCUCGCAGUGUUCUGUGAAGGGGAGAGAGAAAGGCAAACAGCGCGUCAGUGAAGGGGUCUAUUUCUAUGAAGAACGCUGCCAGUAACGGAACGGUCCAAAACAGACUUGUGGAGGAUGUGCUAAAAGAGGGGGAGGCAGAGGAAGAAAAAACCAUGGGCAGUCGUUCGUUUCGAAAGAGAGAGUGAAGAGAGCAAUCCAGACGGGCAGGUGAAAACGCUGCAUGUCAAAGAAACAUUUCAGCUCCUCCUGGUGGUUGGAGUAGGGACAAGAUGAAAAUGCGUAAAGACUCAAAAUGGAAAUAUAAUGAACAUGUUGCUUUACUUAUUUGCUGUUAUCCUUUACUUGUAUAAGAUUUUGUUUUGGGAAUACGUAUAUUUUGCAAGCCAGCUCUAGAUAUAUAAAAUGAAAAAAAUGGAAAGUAAAUGCAAAAAGUAAAAUACUGCUUUUUUUCCAUACUUUUUAAGCACACUUUGUGUCUGAAAAAAUCAGAGUAGUAAAUAUAACCCUUGAGCUGUGAUUUGUUCCGCAGUUAUUUACUAGCUUCUUAUUUUUGAUCAUGCAGGAUUUCACUGCAGGGUUGCAAGUCAUUGGUAGCCAGUAUGAGAGAAUCACUUUGAAAGACACUUAAUAGGGUCAGACAGUCCUGCCCACUCAGCGAUAAUGUCCUUCUUUACAUUCUGCUAUGCUAACUCAUCUUACCUUGUCUGUCAGGUUCCUCAUGUCCUCGCUAUGGUAGAAAAUCCAGCCUGUUAAACACAAUGGCCUCCUUAAGACUCUCGUAAGAGUGUCCUAUGGCUGAGUUGUUGAAAUAGAAUAGCACUUACCCAACUCAUUCUGAAUGUCAAAUACAAUAGGAAACAUGACAGAAAAUGUGGCCUUUGUCAUAUCAGUUUUUUUAACUGUCUGUUAGUGCAAUGCUAGUUGUUACAAAUUCACAUGACCUAACAUAGCAGUACACUCCAUAAAGACAUGUCCCAAACGUAGCCACAAUGUCAAUCCAAGGUAUCUUCUAUUUAUGGAGAUUAGCUCUGAUUUGUAAUAGUUCUGAGUGGAUCUGAAUUCUGUCACAUUAGCUCAUUGUAACCCACAGUUUCUCUCC